rnacentral:tRNA from 1 species
GAGAGGUGGUCGAGUUGGUUUAAGGCACCAGUCUUGAAAAUUGGCGUACGUGCGAGCGUACCGUGGGUUCGAAUCCCACCCUCUCC